rnacentral:rRNA from 1 species
UACGAAGGGGGCUAGCGUUGCUCGGAAUUACUGGGCGUAAAGCGUGCGCAGGCGGCCUUCCAAGUCAGGGGUGAAAGCCCAGAGCUCAACUCUGGAAUUGCCUUUGAGACUGUGAGGCUUGAGUACGGGAGAGGUGAGUGGAAUUCCCAGUGUAGAGGUGAAAUUCGUAGAUAUUGGGAAGAGCACCAGUGGCGAAGGCGGCUCACUGGCCCGAAACUGACGCUCAUGCACGACAGCGUGGGGAUCAAACAGG